GAUAGAGGCCAAAAGGAGAAUUACUUUUGCAAUUUUUGAUUCUGUGAAAUUACCAAAAUGCCCUUCUUCAAAUCUGAUAUAUUCCUCUUCUUUCUUUCUCUUUAUCAGAUCCGUGUGUGCUGAUCGGUGGAGAGAGAGCUUGAGGAUUUUCUAGAAUAUUCGAACCCUCAUCCGGACUUCUAUCCUCCGCCAUCAGCUCUGUCACUCUACUGGUCACCGGUGACUCCAUAAACGCCGGAGUCUUCACCGUGGGAAAGGAUAAAUGGGCUGUCUGUAGCUUGUGGUUAUGAGCUCGCCGGUGUGCUUGCCGUUGCUGUUGUCUCAUCCGUCCUUGAUCAACAAAAAUGUGACGUCUUCCUCCUCCUCUGUUCCAGAUCGAUUUUUUUUUCCUUUUUUCAUCAUUGGCGUGGCUGUGCAGCGAUCUUCCUCUCUUUCACUGUGCAGACGAACAUUCUCUUCCCCCUCUUGGUUUGCGUGUUGUUAGUUUAUUCAAGGGUGUGUGGAAGAACAGGACCUUGAAAAAGAAUUAAAGGAAGAAUAUCUUUGGGAAUUUGGAACUCCGACGAAUUUGUUAGCUGAUGCUGAUCCUACCAUCAACCUCUAAAGGGCAACUAGCUACAGUGGGUGAACCUUUUUGAUUGGUAUUGUUGCUUUAAUGUAAUAUAGAAAUUGUAUGUCUUUUGAUUUGAAAGAAAGAGUAGAUGCUCCACAUAGGUUACUGAUAAACUUUAUUUUUGGUCUGUAUAUUGGUUGCUGGCUGGAAGGAGCUACGCUCCUGAUUUAUACUAUUAUCUGUAAAAUUUUUGUUGUAGAAUUUUCGGGGAGAUUCUAGUUACAGGGGAGGUUCUGCCGAAAUUUCUACCAAAAAAAAAAAGUCGACACUUUCUUAUGAUAAUGAGUUUAAAGGAGUUAUUUAAUUCUCUUGUGACUUGAUCAAAUUUUGUUCUUCUCUUUGUAAAAUGGAAUAAAUAUUCAUUUUGAGGCUUACGGGAAUGUGUGAGAGGUUCAUACCCGUGCCGGUCACUCUCUAUUUUUAGGGCGUGACACAUGUAAUUGAGAUUUGGUUGGACAGAUCUAGCAUAGUUAUAAGCAAAUCUAUAGAUGAAUAGAGCUCGUGGUAACAAUAGAGAUUGGCAUAACAUCAUGGACAAUGGACGAACUCGAGAAGUAUGAAGAGCAAGAAGUCGACUGGAAAGCAACUACUUAUGUUUUUGUGAGGAUAGGUUCCAAGACCACUCAUUACCUAUUGCUAUCGCAUCUCUGCUUCAGCAAGUGUAAGGAUGUACAACGAUGAUGAGUGGAAGGCUGUGUAGCUGUUAAAGAGAAGAUCCAACUACCGCUAGCAGUUAGUGACCUCAAAGAUCACAUCAUUUAAGGUGAUGUAUAAUAAAUUAAGGAUUACAGCCAAGCAAAAUCGAGAGAUAGAGUAGAAGAAAUAGUCAAGGAUGAUUCUCUUCAUUUAUGGGCGCCAUUAUGAGUGUUAGUAGGAAGUUGGGAUUUAACUCUAGUCGUUCCAGCAAGUUUGACAUGUGUAGUGACUGGAAGAAAAAAAUGUAAAGGAGAUCUCAGUCCAAGGGAUCAUGCCAAGGAGUAAUGCCCUCAAGAGUAGUAGGAUGUCAUAGCAAGGUCAUCUACCUCCUACCUAUGUGACUGGACCAACCAAGGCCCCACAAUGUGACAAAUAUGGAAAAAACUACAAAGAUGAACGUUGGACCUACUUCAGAUGCAACUAGGUAGAUCACAUUACUAGGUAUUGAAUUGAGAAGUAGAGCACCUUAGAGUAGAAGUCGAUGUUUCCUGAUUGAGUGUCUACAAGGUCUAAGGAAGAGGCUAAGACAUCUCUAAGUUUAUUAGAGGUAUUAUUUCUCUCUAUGGUUACUAUAUAGAUGCAUUGUUUGACUAUAGAGCCAUGCAGUCGUUCAUGUCGAAUGAUUGGGCAAAAAAGCUAAAUAUGUAUGUACGUACUGCCAUACGUGAUGACAAUGUUUACCUUGGCUAGUGCCACUAUACAUACUAGUCGUGCUUGUUUGAAUAUAGAGUUGAAAUUUAGUAGUUAUAUCACUACAAUAAACUUAUGCUAUGUUUGGAUACACAUGGAUUUGGAUUUAAAUUUGAGCUAAAUCUAAAUCCAAGUUCUACCUCAAUCUCUUUAUAAUUUAAAAUCAUUUCCAAACCUUUAUUAUUUCAAAUCAUAACUCAAUCUCUUUUAUAAUUUCACUCAAAUCCAUAAAGGCUAAUCGACCUGCCAACGAUAAUUAGACUGGACUGUUGAAGUUGACGGAAAUAAGCUACCACCAUUGACUGAGAUUGGACAACUGGCUUUUACCAGGAUGAGACAGCAGACUUCCACCUGAACCAACAGUGAUGACUAGUAUUGGAUAGCCAACUUCCAUCAAGACCAGACCGAUAGUGAUGAUAGGGGCCGGAUGGACGGUUAACUUCCACAGGACUAUACCAAUGGUGAUCAUUAAAAUUGGACCGACGGUGACCAUCGAGACCAAACCCACGACGACAAUUGAGAUAGUACAACCGACUUGCAUUAGGACAGGAUGAGUGACUUCAAUUAAGACAAGACCUAGUGGAAGUCAGCCGUCUGGUCCCGAUCAUCAUUGUUGGUCCGGUCCUGGUGUAAGUUGAUCAUCCAUUCCAAUGGCCACUGUUAAUCCAAUCCCUAUUGAAAUUAGCCAUCUGGUCUUGAUCAUCAUCAUUAGUUUGAUUCCUGUAUAAGUUAGUUGUCUGAUCUAAUGGUUGUUAUCGGUUCAGUCCCAAUGUAAGUCAACGAUCCGGUCUGAUGUUCACCAUCAGUCCAUUCCUUAUGAAAUUGGUCAUCUGGUGCCCGUCCUUGCCGUCUGUCUAGUUCUAGUGGAAGUUGACUAUUCGACAUUAGUCAUCAUCGUUGAUCCGGUCUCGAUGGAAGUUGUAA